AAAAAAUGUAUAUAACAAAUUGAAACACUUUGUACAAAAUAUGCCGUUCGCAUCGCAAAGUGAAUAGACGAGCCCUGUAUCGUUGAUCGCUGAUUUUUGGUCUGGCUGCACAUGGAGAAGGGGUAAGAGUUCAUGCGUGAUGCGAUUAGAAGAGGGGAGAGGUUGACGAAGCCAAUCGGCUUCGUUCUAUUCACUGUGUGAUUGUUGAUCCAAAUUUGUUCUCCGCCAAUAAAUGUUGCGGAAAAUUUUAUUAGGUUUCAAGUCGUGCGAUUUGUUUUGAGCAAUUUGUGCAGGCAAUGAUUUCGUCAAUAAAACAGGAUGCGGAUCUUUCGAUCGUCAUAGGGAUCGGCUCAGGAUAUGCCUUCAAAUACCGUUACUACAUUAACAUUCACAACGACCAUGUUCCGGACAAAAAUGGGGUCGACACUGGAGCAUUUCUUUGCCUGGUUCAGCUGCGCAAUAUGUACGUGAUGCAUUUUGCUUGUUCAUGUUUUUAUUACAGCUAACACUAUCGCACUGAGCGGCCAGGAUGGGCCUCCGGCUCGAAGGGAACAAUCGACACCAACAGGAGAUCGACUACACUGUGUGAACCAUCCUGCCCAGUGCAACCAGGCAACACAACAUUUCUCUUCAGCAACAGCACCAUCAUAAUCCGUGCUAGAAGCAACUCCAACUUGUUGUCGGGAGACUAAAAGAUGCAAAAUUGAUCUUAAAUAAAAGCAAACCAAUUUGUGUAGAAUGAUGAUUGAUCAAA